UACGUAGGGUGCGAGCGUUGUCCGGAAUUAUUGGGCGUAAAGAGCUCGUAGGCGGUGUGUCACGUCGGCCGUGAAAACCUGCAGCUUAACUGUGGGCGUGCGGUCGAUACGGGCAUCACUGGAGUUCGGCAGGGGAGACUGGAAUUCCUGGUGUAGCGGUGAAAUGCGCAGAUAUCAGGAGGAACACCGGUGGCGAAAGCAGCUCUCUGGGACGGUACUGACGCUGAGACGCGAAAGCGUGGGGAGCGAACAGG
rnacentral:rRNA from 1 species